UCUGGAAUAAUCCCCUAGAAAAUCCUAAUUCAAAGCUUUAAAUAGUUUACCCUAAUUAUGGAAACAAAAUCAAGGUUACAGCUUUUCCUCUGAAUAAAUGAUGACAUUUGUGAUAGCUUAUCAGUAGUCUAAUGACUUAUCACGGAUGUCGUCAGCUCCUCUUCACUUUUGGCUUUUGCUGUCUAAGACUGACGAUGAUGAUGACGGC
rnacentral:lncRNA from 1 species